GAGGGUGGUAGUCUAUACGAGCGCACCCUAUCGUUAGUUGCCAUCAUUUAGUUGGGCACUCUGAAAGAACUGCCAGUGAUAAGCUGGAGGAAGGUGGGGAUGACGUCAAGUCCUCAUGGCCCUUACGUGUUGGGCUACACACGUGCUACAAUGGUAUCUACAACAGGAAGCAAAACGGCAACGUUAAGCAAAUCCCGAAAAGAUACCUCAGUUCGGAUUGCACUCUGCAACUCGAGUGCAUGAAGCUGGAAUUACUAGUAAUCGUGGAUCAGCGUGCCACGGUGAAUGCGUUCCCGGGUCUUGUACACACCGCCCGUCACACCAUGGGAGUUGGUUCUACCUUAAGGCAAGGUUUUAAACCCUUGACCACGGUAUAGUCAGCGACUGGGGUGAAGUCGUAACAAGGUAGCCGUAGGGGAACCUGCGGCUGGAUUACCUCCUUUCU
rnacentral:rRNA from 1 species